ACGAUAUAUGCCGACGGCCGGCCGUCCAGGCCGUCGGCAUAGAUUUGACGACGUUAGCCGCUGGUCACGGGCGGGGUCGCCGGGCCCACGGGUAUGCCGACGGCCUGGUUAUGCCGACGGCUGCUGUCGCCAUGUUCGCAGCUGGGCCGACGACAUAUGUAUGCCGACGGGUGCCGUCGGCUUAGCUCGUGGUAGCCCGACGGCCAAGGUACGCCGACGACCAAGACGUGGCUGUCGGCAUAGCGCAAAGUAGGCCGACGGCAGCCGUCGGCAUUGAUUUGGCCGUCGGGGUAGGGCCAGUUUCCGGUAGUGCAUAGAUUUAUCCUAAUCAUAUGUUCAGAUAAAAUAGUUCAGGUUCAUAUCUAUGCUCAAUUUGAAAUUAAAUAUGGUAUGUGCCUUUUGAAUCUGCAAUAGUUUCAGCCUGUAGGCUUUACUUUGCUUUUGAAUCUGUAGUAUUUUCAGCUUGGUUUUGGUUAUAUGCUUGAACAUAAUAACUCAAGUUUGUAUUUAUGUGUGGUUACAAAUAAAUAAGAGAAGCAUUCUUGUAGGCUUUACUUGUGCUUUCAAAUCUGUAGUAUUUUCAACUUGUUUUUGUUGUAUGCUUGAACAGAAUAACUCAAGUUUGCAUUUAUGUGUGCUAACAAAUAAAUAAGAGAAGCAUUUGUUAUGUUUGAAGCAACAACAGACUGUACAAGCCGGGGUGAUUUUUGUCGUACCAUACAAAAUCAAUGAGACAAACCGUUUGUUUUCAAUCUCGCUUGUGCAUUUCUUGUGUCUUAUCUUAUAGUCGUCGUUGCUAUAUGCUUUACUUUGAGAACAGAUGGACUCUUUUAUGUUGAUCUUGAGAGAAAUUUCCUUUUUAGUUUUUCUUAGAUGUACUUUGAUCUGCUGUGAGUCUUGUGGUCCCAAUCACUAUGUUUAUUUUAUCUUAAUUACGAGUUGUCCUGAAUCCGACGUUGUCCGCACAACUAGGAGGGGGGUGGAGAUGAAAUGGGGCCAAAUGAUCCCGCGGCAACAAUAGCAGAUCUAAAUUCAUGUUGCUAGGGUGCAGACUGACCUGAAUUCGAGGAAAAAUAUGGGGAUGAAAGUGCCAUUUUUCCUGCCAAUUCCAUAUUUCAACAGCUUUCAGAGACACAUCUUCCUUUUUCAGCAGCGUGCCUCUGCGUCAUACAGCGGGCCUCUGUUUCGGAAUAGUCAUAGAAGAUGAUUUUUAGAUUAUUUAUUUGGAAACAUAUAUUGCGCAUACAACUGAAAUCUCCUUAUGUUCAAGUUGAUUUCAGCCACCCUUGGAUCCCUUAGUAUGACUACUUACAUAACCUCAUGUUGGAAGCAAGUUUUUUUGUUUCCCUUCAGUCAUUUUCGUCAUGUGAGAUGAGCCGCUCUAAACUGUAAUGUAGCUUGAGUAUUUAUCUGUACUUGAAGUCUACAAGUGUUUUCUUAAGUAUACCAUAACCACCUGACUGAGAAUAAUUAAUUUCACAAUUGGUAAAUAAACUGAAUUAAGCAUUUCUUAGAUUUUUUGGUUCAGAGCUUUUAUUGUCUCUUUGGUAAUAUGUUGGAGUUUACUUUUCCUAUGGCAUCCAUUUAUUUUGGAAGUUAUUUGCAUGUAUACUGGUAUGCGGUUGUCUGUGUGCCCCCUUACAGCUGCUUAUUAUCUGUAAGUGGUGAAAAAUAUUUUCUUGAGUUUAAUUGUAUGUAUCAAGCCACUUGGUGGAAAGACCUCUUUUGUGUCCUGACAUGUGAAUUGAAUGAUGUGGUUAUAUUAACAUUGCUCUUUGUUUUGCUGUCCGAUUCUUUAUUUCCCUUUGGAUGGACGCUCACGUCGGCGUGCCCCCUUUGGAUGGACGCUCACGUUGGCGUGGGGUAUGGCGGCCGUUGAGGGAGCCGAGCCGGCGGAUGUGGAGGCUGCCGGGCGGCAGUGCUCGCGUGAAGGAGGAAUAUGAUGAUGCAUGGAGUGGCGUGGAGUGCCAACCAUCUCCAUCGAGCGGCGGUGCUCGCAUGAAGGAUGAGUUCGUCACUCCCCUGGCUGUGGCUGCGCAUUCGACUGGCCAGUCAAGGAGCUCUGGCAAGCAGGUCCGCCUACUCUCCUUUCCCCUGAGCUCCUGCAACAACAACAGCUUAUGUGUAGUAUCAGCCAGAGAACUACACAAAUCAUGUUCCUGGACACCCAGCGAGUGUUUAGGAUCCCAGACAGGGCAGUUCUUGACAUGCUCCUGGCACACCUUGGACUAUCACCAGCUCUUUUGCACAUACAUGUGAUGUGAUGAAGCCCAUCCAUUUGUCCGUUCUUCGUCAGGGUCACAAAGUCUUUGUGCCAGGAUUCUUCCCUUUGUAAAUAUGAAAGCGUGUAUGAUCUAUUCACAGACUUGCUCUGCUGCUUUGUAGCCCAACUGAUUAUGUACUCUUGAUCGUCCUCAUGGCAUCUGUCAACUCCAUUGUGAAUCAUCUCUUUAUCCUAAGGCUGUACUCGCUAUGCUAGAAUGAUAGAUGAUAUAGUAAAUACAUCUUUUCUUUUUACAAGGCUCAUAUCGUAAGGAUUGUCGUGUCC